rnacentral:lncRNA from 1 species
CCCAUUUUGGCUGUAGUGUUUCCAAGCAUGUGGAAGAGAGUGCGUUCUUUGGUAUUUUUCUCCGGGACCUUUUGAAGUGCCAACAGAAGAAGAUCAUCAAAGUUAUCCUCCGAUCUGUUAUACUCCGAUCUGUUAUCCCGAUCUGCUAUCCUCUGAUCUGUUAUCCUGUUACGACCCGAUCUUCCCCUUCUUUUCCUCCAGCAGUAUUGACCGUUCAUUGGCCACGACGUUUCAGUAUUCAAUUGGUCACUGUCACAACGCAGUGUGCUGGACCGAUGUGGCCAGUCCAGUGGGAAUCAGGGUCAGAUCAAUAUAUCUGAAUCCUCUUAGUUUGUGUCAAGCAGACAAAUGAUGUUGGAGAAGUGCGAGUUUGGAGACGUAUUGAUGCCUGUUUUUUUUCCCACUCUGUGUGUCCUCAAGGUGGUAUGCACACAUGCUCACACACGCACACACACAAACACAUUCACAAACACACACACACUCAGAACGAGGGACAGAAUGAGGGACAGAACGAGGUAUAGAACACAAUCCUUCUUUGUAUUUGUAUCAAUUAAUAUCUAGGAGGAGAGGAGGAUAUUAUCUAGGAGGAGGAACAUAUCUAGGAGGAGGAUAAUAUCUAGGAGGAGGAAAAUAUCUAGGAGGAGAGGAGGAAAAUAUCUAGGAGGAGGAUAAUAUCUAGGAGGAGAGGAGCAUAAUAUCCAGGAGGAGGAGAGGAUAAUAUCUAGGAAGAUAAUAUCUAGGAGGAGAGGAUAAUAUCUAGGAGGAGAGGAGGAUAAUAUCUUGAAGGAGGAUAAUAUCUUGAAGGGAGA